rnacentral:rRNA from 1 species
CCUACGGGAGGCAGCAGUAGGGAAUAUUGCUCAAUGGGGGAAACCCUGAAGCAGCAACGCCGCGUGGAGGAUGAAGGUUUUCGGAUUGUUAACUCCUUUUGUUAGAGAAGUUCAUGACGGUAUCUAACGAAUAAGCACCGGCUAACUCCGUGCCAGCAGCCGCGGUAAUACGGAGGGUGCAAGCGUUACUCGGAAUCACUGGGCGUAAAGAGCGCGUAGGCGGGAUAGCAAGUCAGAUGUGAAAUCCUAUGGCUUAACCAUAGAACUGCAUUUGAAACUGUUAUUCUAGAGUAUGGGAGAGGUAGGUGGAAUUCUUGGUGUAGGGGUAAAAUCCGUAGAGAUCAAGAGGAAUACUCAUUGCGAAGGCGACCUGCUAGAACAUAACUGACGCUGAUGCGCGAAAGCGUGGGGAGCAAACAGGAUUAGAUACCCUAGUAGUC